AGUGAACGCUGGCGGUAGGCCUAACACAUGCAAGUCGAACGGCAGCACAGUAAGAGCUUGCUCUUACGGGUGGCGAGUGGCGGACGGGUGAGGAAUACAUCGGAAUCUACUUUUUCGUGGGGGAUAACGUAGGGAAACUUACGCUAAUACCGCAUACGACCUACGGGUGAAUGCAGGGGAUCUUCGGACCUUGCGCGAUUGAAUGAGCCGAUGUCGGAUUAGCUAGUUGGCGGGGUAAAGGCCCACCAAGGCGACGAUCCGUAGCUGGUCUGAGAGGAUGAUCAGCCACACUGGAACUGAGACACGGUCCAGACUCCUACGGGAGGCAGCAGUGGGGAAUAUUGGACAAUGGGCGCAAGCCUGAUCCAGCCAUACCGCGUGGGUGAAGAAGGCCUUCGGGUUGUAAAGCCCUUUUGUUGGGAAAGAAAAGCAGCAGGUUAAUACCCCGCUGCUCUGACGGUACCCAAAGAAUAAGCACCGGCUAACUUCGUG
rnacentral:rRNA from 1 species